rnacentral:lncRNA from 1 species
GUCCCGUGAAAAAAAAGUUUCGUGACCUUGAGUUUUCCCUGUGGACAAGCCUUGACAUUCAAGGCGAGCUCACCCUUCAGAACUUCCUCGAGCAUU